AGAAAGACUCUAAGCAUACUUGUAAUACACACACAAAAAGUAUAGAAAUACAAUUCUUUUUUCUUCUUUAUAAUGGUAUCAGAGCGUUUUCUUUUUCUCCGUUUCUCCCGAAGGUGAAUUGCCUUGGGAAAACCGUAUUAAAAAAAUUUGCAGAACCACAACCAAAUCCAAAACGUUCUGCCCGCCUAUCCUUCGUCGCUGAUGAACCACGACUCCAUUGCUGUGAGUUUUCAAUCAUCUUCUCCGUCGCGCCACCGGUGUCAAUCCGACUCCAUCGCCUCGAGCAAUCCCAAUCCCAUGUCCAUCCAGCAAUCCUACCUCGGCGUUGUCACCGUCGAAGGCCGCCAUAGUCAAAACUUGAACUUGGUCUUCUUUUGUUCCUAAUGUGGGCUGGUUUUAGAGAAGUAAAAGAGAGAAAAUAAUUCUUUCUAUUUCAAAAAGAGAAAAAAAAAAGGAUGACAACUAUUCAAAAAGAAAAUGCCCAACCAAUUUCAAUUAUACUUGAUGGGCAUAACUACAAUCGAUGGGCGACAGCUAUGCGGAGUUAUUUGAAAGGGAUGAAACUGUGGCUUGUUAUCACUAGAGACAGAACAACACCAGUCAAAUAGGCGGGAGAAACUGAUGAUAAGUAUGUCGGUCGACUCGAGUAAUGGGAAAGCAAGAAUCAUCAGAUUCUUACAAUGUUCACCAAUACUAUUGUUCCUUCAAUCAAUGUGCACUUUGGGCAUUUUCAACUUGCAAAAGAAGCUUAGGACUUUAUUGCCAUGCGGUAUGGUUCUACUACCCUCUCUCAUCAGUAUCAUCUUAUGACUACUUUAUCCCGACUUCGUCAAGAAUUUGAUCAAUUGGGCAAGGAAUCCUACAAAUCGUCGCUCUACCACUAGCUAUUGUUUCUUUCUUGGUUCAUCGCUUAUUUCUUGGCGAAGUAAAAAGCAAACUGUUGUCUCCCGCUCAAGCACUGAGGCUGAAUAUCGAGCUCUUGCUGAUGCAACAUCCAAACUACUAUGGUUAUGAUGGCUCCUUCAAGACAUGGGUGUUUUUCUCGUGAAAACACUCAUAUUCAUUGCGACAAUCAGAGUACUUUUCAGAGGGCUCAUAAUAAUGUCUUUCACGAACGCACUAAACAUAUUGAGAUCGACUGCCACUUCAUUCGUCAUCAUUUGCUCAGUAAAACUCUACAGCUUGUUCAUGUUGCCCCUACAUCCCAAAAGGCUGACAUCUUCACCAAGUCAAAUCCACCUAGUCAAUUUAUUGCUCAAGUUUCCAAACUCAAAUUGGCUUCUACAAUGCCAUCUUGAGUUUGAGGGGGGAUGGGUUAAUGCAAUAGUUGACUUUGGAUGUUUCCUGAUUGUGUAGUUAGUGUAAUGGUUGAUUUUGGAUGUUUCUUUUUCUAGUAUUCUGUAAUCUCUAUAUAAAGGCUCUAAGCAUACUUAUAAUACACACAAAAAAUAUAGAAAUACAAUUCUUUCUUCUUCUUUAUCAAUAAGCAUAAAGGCUCUCUCCUACGCGUGCAAGGGAUGCAAGUCAUGGACCGUCGAACCAAAGGACUAGAAAUUAAGCUUACAUUGAUUCUGAGUUAGUGGUUAUAUCUCCUUUGACCCAUAAAAGGGACCACUAUUUUUCAUACGAGGCCCCCCACCCACUUAAAGUAGACAAUUAAGCAAGAGUAGUAUUGUUGUGUGCCCUUAUUGCUAGUACGCCAUUGUAUCAUAUGAGCCAGAUGCCAAACAAACCUCAUGCACGUAUAGUAUUGAUGGGAAAUUUUGCAUUAAGGACAAUAUGUGAACACAGGCCUCAGC